UACGUAGGUGGCAAGCGUUUAUCCGGAAUUACUGGGCGUAAAGCGCACGCAGGCGGCUAGUCAAGUUCGACGUGAAAGCUCCCGGCUUAACUGGGAGAGGUCGUUGAAAACUGGUUAGCUUGAGGCAAUGAGAGGGGUGUAGAAUUCCCGGUGUAGUGGUGGAAUGCGUAGAUAUCGGGAGGAAUACCAGUGGCGAAAGCGGCACCCUAGCGUUGUUCUGACGCUCAUGUGCGAAAGCGUGGGGAGCAAACAGG
rnacentral:rRNA from 1 species